UACGUAGGGGGCAAGCGUUAUCCGGAAUUACUGGGCGUAAAGCGCACGCAGGCGGUUCGCCAAGUUUGGAGUGACAGUUGUCGGCUCAACCGACAAAGGACUUCAAAAACUGGUGAACUUGAGGACGAGGGUGGAACAUGGAACUCCAGGUGUAGUAGUGAAAUGCGUAGAUAUCUGGAAGAACACCAAUGGCGAAGGCAAUGUUCUGGCUCGUUUCUGACGCUCAGGUGCGAAAGCCAGGGGAGCGAACGGG
rnacentral:rRNA from 1 species